rnacentral:rRNA from 1 species
CCUACGGGAGGCAGCAGUGGGGAAUAUUGGACAAUGGGCGAAAGCCUGAUCCAGCCAUGCCGCGUGUGUGAAGAAGGCCUUCGGGUUGUAAAGCACUUUCAGUGGGGAAGAAAGCCUUGGGGCUAAUACCCUCGAGGAAGGACAUCACCCACAGAAGAAGCACCGGCUAACUCCGUGCCAGCAGCCGCGGUAAUACGGAGGGUGCGAGCGUUAAUCGGAAUUACUGGGCGUAAAGCGCGCGUAGGCGGUCUGAUAAGCCGGUUGUGAAAGCCCCGGGCUCAACCUGGGAACGGCAUCCGGAACUGUCAGGCUAGAGUGCAGGAGAGGAAGGUAGAAUUCCCGGUGUAGCGGUGAAAUGCGUAGAGAUCGGGAGGAAUACCAGUGGCGAAGGCGGUCUUCUGGACUGACACUGACGCUGAGGUGCGAAAGCGUGGGUAGCAAACAGGAUUAGAUACCCGUGUAGUC